UGCAGUGGCAGAAGAAGAAGGUGAAGUCACCUACCAACUUGAGUCAUGUUGUAUUUGGGCUGCGAUUUAAAUGUCUUUGGAGAUGCUCUAAGCCGAAAAAAUAUGUUUAUUUUCAGCGCUCUGUGUUGUUUAUUUAGGGGUUAUGAAAUCAUCUUUUAAAUGCUGAAUAAUUGAGCUGACGAGACGCACGUUUUAGCCGGCAGCUAGCAUUAGCCUGUUAGCUUGAGCCACGUUUCUGUAACGCAACGUGAAGCUGCCAUCAAACUUUAUGAAGGUUUAAUUUGAUGUCGUUCAGAAGAUUUCUGCACAAAACCUGUUUUUCUAAGGUAGGUAACAAGAAUGUUUAUUCAGUGUUUUCAUCUUUAAAAAUACAUAGUGCAAGACAAAGGAGCAGCUGAAAGGACUUAGUCAUUUUGAAGUUUAACCAAAAAUAUGUGUGCAUCAUACACUUUUUAUAUGCAAUCGUUGUCCUUUCUUACAUGACUACAGUGCACCUGUAUGUGAAAUGCCUCAGUCAAACCUUGUAUUUCUGGUCCAGUAUAGCAAGAAUUCUUUUUUCAUGGGAGGUCAGUCUAGAAACAGCAGCAUGAAAAAAAGGAUGUUACUGACAGUUACAAAUUUGACAGCUUUACAGCAUUUGAGGAGAAACUUGAGGCUUCCCAAAAGGUAUGUGAUGACUUGUUUUCACAUAUUUCUAAUGUUUAUGUGAUUAGAGUUAGGCUUACGUCUACUUCAAGUAUCUACUGUGAAAAUAGAAAAAUGUACUUUUAACUGUACAGUGAAAAUGGCAGGAAUAUAAAAACGGUAGUGUGAGAAUAGCCCAGCAGACUCCUAUGAUAAUACUGUGAAAAAGCAUCAUCCACAUACAGUGUCCCAAAAAAGUGCCACAAAAUCAUUUGACUCUUAAUUGUACAACAGCUAAUCUCACUUCAGUUUUUUUUUUCCCCAGACAUCAAGAUACAUGUGAGUAAUUUCUUCUGAUGUGGUUUGAGACUGAUCUGAUGAGGAUGCCGCUUACAAUUAAGCAAAAAGGGAAACUGAUUGAAUUAUACUUUGAGACCAAUUCAGUCGUGCCAACUCAACGACAAUUUCAAUGUCAUUUUGCAGUUAGAAGAGCUCCAGACAGAAAGACAAUAUGGAGGAUUGUGAAGAAGCUUCAAACUGAUAGAACUGUUCACAAUGUUAACCAGAGGAGCCAGAACUCCAAAGAACAUUGACGCUGUCCACCAGUCUGCUAAUCAAAGUCAGCAUGGUGUGCAAUAAAUUCAAAAAACAUAGUUGGACCUUAUUGGUGUGUGGAUGGAGAGGGAAGGGCUGUUACAGUGAACCUGAAGAAUAACUGCACAAGUCAUCUAAGUUUUAUGCAUCGGUCAGUCUUUGUUGAGGGAUUGUUAUCAAUCGGCAAUGGUUUGUGCAAGAUGGUGCCACCCUUCAUAUUGCAAAUGCAACGCUUGAAAUGAUGGCACAGAAAUUUGGGGAUAGGGUGAUUUCUCAAAGAACAGACUAUCCAUGGGCAGCUCAUUCUCCAGACCUCAAUCCGUGUGCCUUUUUCCUUUGGAGUUACUCAAAUGACGGUGUCUAUGCUGGCAACCCGGGAACACUUCAGUAUCAAAAGACAGCAAUCACAAGAUUCCUCAGAGCUAUCCCUGCAGAUAUGUGCAAGAGAGUUACUGGAAACUUUGCAGUCAGGUUGAAUGAAUGUCUGAACCGCCGCAGCGCACAUAUUGUGCACAUCUCGUGAAUACCAAAACUCUUACAAACUGAGGUGAAAUUAGAAAUGAUCACCAGAGACAAAAUUCCCUGAGAUACUCGUAUGCUUCAAGAUGACGUGACGAAUAUCAUUAUCCAAAAGUGGAUACUUGGUCUUGGCCAGUGGAUGAUGACAAACUAAGGUGUUGAAGUGAGUGCACGCAUGCUGUAAAAUCUGAUGUUAGUCCUUGAAGCAGGGGUGCAGCAGAUCACUUUUGGAUAUUCUGUGGCUUUAUUUUUGUGGUACUUUUUUGGGACACCCUGUAUAUAUCAUUUUAUGUUUCUCUUUCAGGUUCUCCAGCCUUCCACGUGCUGCUCACUAAACUCCCACAGUAAAUCAUCAAUUCUUGUUCUUGGCCAGUGGAUGGCGACAAACUAAGGUGUAGGAGUGAGCGCUCACAAGCUGUAAAAUCUGACACUAGUGCUUGAAGCCGAGGUGCAGCAGAUCACAGAACAAGUGGAUCACAGUUAUGGAGCUGAUCGUUUUUCAUAUCCGCAACAAAAACUGAGAAAAAUAUAGAUCCCUUUGUUAAAGAAAUUGGGAGUAUUAUAAUAAUAAUAAUAAAUAUAUAUAUUUUUUUCACUCUGGGUUUGGGUUAGGGAUGCACUCUGCCUUCCUGGGGAGUGACACAUUUAUCAUCCAGUUAACUAGAUUUCAUAGUUUCUUAUACCAUUUGUUCUUAUUCUGUUUGACUCGAGUUAUGUUUUUCUGCUGUGAUGACAAAUAUAUAUUUAAUUAAAAUGCAAUAACUGUGGGCAUAUUAUCAUCUUCUGUUUAUUUGUACCCAAACCAGCAACUUUGGAGUUUCCAUUUGUCAAGUCUCAUUCCAGUUUUUUAGUUAGGUAUUGCAGCAGUGCCCUAAUUUCAUCUGUUUGCUGUGUACAGUUAGUCCUGAAGACUGUUGAAAUGCAGAUGUUACCUAGAACAGCGGUGUAAAUUAUUUUUUGUUCCAUUAUCUUAUUUUUAUUUGUACACGUGAAAAUGGUCUUUUCAUAUUUCUUUGCUGAUAUGCAUUUUUGUAGCAAUUUUUGCAGUAAAUGUUCCAGAAUGCUGCCAUUUUAUGAAAUUAUGUGUAAUGGGAGUUAAACCUCUUGUUGCUGUCUUGUAUAUGAGAACUGUAAAAUACAACACUUGG